GUUCGAGGAAGCAAUGGCAGUCAUGGAAAUUCCUGCUAUGAGCAAAGGGGCUUUUCUACGCCGGGAGGAGUCCCUGGGAAAGUGCUGGAAAACCGUCCUUUUUGACCAAAUGAUAAAAGCCGGAAAAGAAGAAAAAAAACUCGCGGAAGAAGCUGGGGCUUUCUGUGAGGAUGGCAUAACCCCCUAUAUUACAGUGAUUGUCGAUGGUGGGUGGUCACACCGCA